ACGGGAGGCAGCAGUGGGGAAUAUUGCACAAUGGGGGAAACCCUGAUGUAGCGACGCCGCGUGAGCGAUGAAGUAUUUCGGUAUGUAAAGCUCUAUCAGCAGGGAAGAAAAUGACGGUACCUGACUAAGAAGCUCCGGCUAAAUACGUGCCAGCAGCCGCGGUAAUACGUAUGGAGCAAGCGUUAUCCGGAUUUACUGGGUGUAAAGGGAGCGUAGGCGGAAGGCUAAGUCUGAUGUGAAAACCCAGGGCUCAACCUUGGGACUGCAUUGGAAACUGGUUUUCUAGAGUGUCGGAGGGGUAAGUGGAAUUCCUAGUGUAGCGGUGAAAUGCGUAGAUAUUAGGAGGAACACCAGUGGCGAAGGCGGCUUACUGGACGACAACUGACGCUGAGGCUCGAAAGCGUGGGGAGCAAACAGGAUUAGAUACCCUGGUA
rnacentral:rRNA from 1 species